UCUGUCGGUGAACUCAGGCUGACUGAUGGUCGAGUGUCUUUGCAUCUUUCCAUUCGUCGCCUGCCAAGACGCCGGAUUACAGUGAGGACGGGAUAAUGUCCGAGUCCACUUGUCCAGACAUUUUCUACACGUGCACUGGUGGAGAAAACACCGUGGGAUGCCGUUGUCUUCCUCUGUUAUUGCUGGUUGUUUUGUGGUUGAUUAAGCUGUUUAUAUUUUCAUAGCAGUGGCAAGACGAAUUACUGAUGAAGUUUUUAGAGAGCUGAACCAAGAACCAGCAGUCUGUUUCCUUCAAGCUGGGGCUCAGAAGUGAUAGAGGGAGGAAGGAAGGAAGGAAGGAAGGAAAGAAGGAAGGCAAUCUGACCAAGAGUAGCUAAAACUAGGACAUCCUGAUGAGGAAUACAGGUGGCCCCUGCAAGAGGAAAAACAUACCAAGAUGCUGUUCUUGAUAAAAAAAAAAAAAAAAAAAACAAGGAAAGAAAAAAAAAACAAUACUUCAAAGCUGGUGACACAAACAUUCC